AACGAACGCUGGCGGCAGGCUUAACACAUGCAAGUCGAGCGCCCCGCAAGGGGGGCGGCAGCCGGGUGGGUAACGCGUGGGAACUUACCUUUUGGUUCGGAACAACUCCGUGAAACUGGAGCUAAUACCGGAUAAGCCCUAACGUGGAAAGAUUUAUCGCCGAAAGAUCGGCCCGCGUCUGAUUAGCUAGUUGGUGAGGUAACGGCUCACCAAGGCGACGAUCAGUAGCUGGUCUGAGAGGAUGAUCAGACACACUGGGACUGAGACACGGCCCAGACUCCUACGGGAGGCAGCAGUGGGUAAUAUUGGACAAUGGGCGCAAGCAUGAUCCAGCCAUGCCGCGUGAGUGAUGAAGGCCUUAGGGUUGUAAAGCUCUUUUGUCCGGGAAGAUAAUGACUGUACCGGAAGAAUAAGCCCCGGCUAACUUCGUG
rnacentral:rRNA from 1 species